GUGUGGAAGAGAUAACCGCUGAAAGCAUCUAAGCGGGAAACUCGUUUCAAGAUGAGAUCUGCCGGGGCCUUGAGCCCCCUAAAGAGUCGUUCAAGACCAGGACGUUGAUAGGUCAGGUGUGGAAGCGCAGUAAUGCGUUAAGCUAACUGAUACUAAUUGCUCGUGCGGCUUGACCCUAUAACUUUG
rnacentral:rRNA from 1 species